CAUGGUCAAAAUGACAGAUCAGGUGGCCGAUCUUAAAAUAAAUCAAUGUUGAUUUUUUAAUAGAGUGUUAAAGUUUUGCGAAGCCAGGGGGCGGGGCUACUUGAUUGACAGUCUGGUCUGGAAUGAAUGACAGGUCCUAUGGAGGAGGAAGCAGAGAUUCUGUUCUCCUUGUUUGGAUUAAUUCUGAUAUAAUAACUGUUGGUUUAUUUAUUGGUAGAGCAGCAGAACCUUUUCCACAGACAGUUUUCCUCCCCGUUGGCUUGUUUUAACCAGUUUUCUGCCUUCGGCUGAUUCUAACAGCAGACACUGAAAGGACACUGUUAGUUUGAGUGAAAGUAGCAGUUCCUCCUGAAGGUCAGAGAUUGAAGCAUCUGAGGGCCUCUUCAAAAGAAGACGUAGUUGAUGAAGGCGUUCUGGAGCAGGACCAGAAAGACCACGACCAAACAGCCUUGAGAUCUUAGGCAGCGUCUUCCUCAGGUCCCUCUCUAUCUCCCCACACAUCCACCAACCACUGGAACACAUCUCCAAAGUUCUGCCGGGCCAGCUCAGCUUCCCCUCAGAAGAAGUGGCGCCACCUGCCAGAUGAAGGAGCCUGUUGAGAGGCAGCUGGCAUCGUGAUUGGACUGUACUUUGGUCUGUUCCAGUCCAGCUUCAGCUCCAGAGACGGCAGGUGGGACGAGUCAACGGAGGCCGGGUGGACGAAGACAUGCAGCUGAGUACAAUCCAGAAAACAACAGAGGAGGAGUGCAGCAGCCCAGAGCCAGAACAAACAGAGUAGCAUCUUAUGUCUCUUAGAAAACAUCAUAGUAUAGCCUUUAGUAUGAAAAAACGCCAUAAUAUACAUCGUAUAUUGUAUAAAUAACAAGUCAAAGGAAAGAGACAUACAUUGUAGAAUUGUAGUAAUUGUGGGCUAACUGAUUUACUGAUUACCAGUAUUUUAUUUUUUACUGAUUUACGGUAAUAAAUAAAUUUAAAA